rnacentral:rRNA from 1 species
GACGUAGGGUGCGAGCGUUGUCCGGAUUUAUUGGGCGUAAAGAGCUCGUAGGCGGCUCGUCGCGUCGACCGUGAAAACCCGCGGCUUAACUGCGGGCUUGCGGUUGAUACGGGCGGGCUAGAGUUCGGUAGGGGAGACUGGAAUUCCUGGUGUAGCGGUGAAAUGCGCAGAUAUCAGGAGGAACACCGGUGGCGAAGGCGGGUCUCUGGGCAGUAACUGACGCUGAGGAGCGAAAGCGUGGGGAGCGAACAGG